rnacentral:ncRNA from 11 species
UAGCUCAGUCGGCAGAGCGCACGGCCCUUAACCUUGUGGUCGUGGGUUCGAGCCCCACAGU